UACGGGGGGGGCAAGCGUUGUUCGGAAUUACUGGGCGUAAAGGGCUCGUAGGUGGCCAACUAAGUCAUACGUGAAAUCCCUCGGCUUAACCGGGGAACUGCGUCUGAUACUGGAUGGCUUGAGGUUGGGAGAGGGAUGCGGAAUUCCAGGUGUAGCGGUGAAAUGCGCAGAUAUCAGGAGGAACACCAACGGCGAAGGCAGCACUCUGGGCCGGUACUGACGCUGAGGAGCGAAAGCGUGGGGAGCGAACAGG
rnacentral:rRNA from 1 species